CCUACGGGAGGCUGCAGUCGAGAAUCAUUCACAAUGGGGGAAACCCUGAUGGUGCGACGCCGCGUGGGGGAAUGAAGGUCUUCGGAUUGUAAACCCCUGUCAUGUGGGAGCAAAUUAAAAAGAUAGUACCACAAGAGGAAGAGACGGCUAACUCUGUGCCAGCAGCCGCGGUAAUACAGAGGUCUCAAGCGUUGUUCGGAAUCACUGGGCGUAAGGCGUGCGUAGGCUGUUUCGUAAGUCGUGUGUGAAAGGCGCGGGCUCAACCCGAGGACGGCACAUGAUACUGCGAGACUAGAGUAAUGGAGGGGGAACUGGAAUUCUCGGUGUAGCAGUGAAAUGCGUAGAUAUCGAGAGGAACACUCGUGGCGAAGGCGGGUUCCUGGACAUUAACUGACGCUGUGGCACGAAGGCCAGGGGAGCGAAAGGGAUUAGAUACCCGAGUAGUC
rnacentral:rRNA from 1 species